UACGUAGGGUGCAAGCGUUGUCCGGAUUCAUUGGGCGUAAAGGGUGCGUAGGCGGCGGGGAAAGUCUGAUGUGAAAUCCUGGGGGCUCAACCCUGGAACUGCAUUGGAUACUUCCUUGCUAGAGUACUGGAGAGGAAACUGGAAUUUACGGUGUAGCAGUGAAAUGCGUAGAGAUCGUAAGGAAGACCAGUGGCGAAGGCGAGUUUCUGGACAGUUACUGACGCUGAGGCACGAAGGCCAGGGGAGCAAACGGG
rnacentral:rRNA from 1 species